AUUGAACGCUGGCGGCAGGCUUAACACAUGCAAGUCGAGCGGUAACAGAGAGAAGCUUGCUUCUCUGCUGACGAGCGGCGGACGGGUGAGUAAUGCCUAGGAAUCUGCCUAGUAGGGGGGGAUAACUUGCCGAAAGGUAAGCUAAUACCGCAUACGUCCUACGGGAGAAAGGAGGGGACCUUCGGGCCUUUCGCUAUUAGAUGAGCCUGGGUCGGGUUAGUUAGUUGGUGAGGUAAUGGCUCACCAAGACCGCGAUCCGUAACUGGUCUGAAAGGAUGUUCAGUCACACUGGAGCUGAGACACGGGCCAGACUCCUACGGGAAGCAGCAGUGGGGAAUAUUGGACAAUGGGGGGAACCCUGAUCCAGCCAUGCCGCGUGUGUGAAGAAGGUCUUAGGAUUGUAAAGCACUUUAAGUUGGGAGGAAGAGCAGUUAACUAAUAUUUGACUGUUUUGACGUUACCGACAGAAUAAGCACCGGCUAACUUCGUGCCAGCAGCCGCAGUAA
rnacentral:rRNA from 1 species